UACAGAGGGGGCAAGCGUUGUUCGGAAUUACUGGGCGUAAAGGGCGCGUAGGCGGCCUUCUAAGUCGAACGUGAAAUCCCCGGGCUCAACCCGGGAACUGCGUCCGAUACUGGAAGGCUUGAAUCCGGGAGAGGGAUGCGGAAUUCCCGGUGUAGUGGUGAAAUGCGUAGAGAUCAGGAGGAACACCGGUGGCGAAGGCGGCCUACUGGGCCAGCACUGACGCUGAGGCGCGAAAGCUCGGGGAGCGAACAGG
rnacentral:rRNA from 1 species